GAAAAAUCACUUGUUUUUAAUGAGAGUAGUAAUGACAAAUCUUUGACAUACCAAUUAUCACAAUGCAACUACAUCAUGGUACACAAGAAAGGACACAGCAAGGGAUGAGACUGGAGAGGUAAGCUGGGGCCAGACCACAGCAUAAUCUAUGAACUACUAUAUAUGAUCGAUGGCAAAGCCUAAUGAAGAGUUUGAAUCCAGAUCUUAAUAUCAGUAAAACCAAGGUCCAGAACGCUG